GGCUGUGGCUGACUGUACAAAGGUAUAAUUUAUUUCCCGCAUAAACUCAAUGAUUCCUACUCAUUUAUGUCAUCUUAUUAAUUUAUUUGUAAUGGUUGAUUUAUGAAUUUGAAGUGUUUUAUUUAGGAACUAAGUUGUUGCCAUCAUGAGUGGAAAGAUAGUGAGUUGUUGAUUAGCAUUUCAGUUGUAAUAACUUGUUAGGUUACCGCUCUUCUUUAAUGGGUUGCGCAUAAAAGUAGUAGUGAAGAAUUGAUUGGUUUAGCCUCUGCUGAAUUUUAGAAUCAUUUUCUCUUUCUAAAAUUUUUCAGAUCUCCAUUACAGUUUUAUUUCCUUUCAUUAUUUUCUCCCUUUUUUUUUUUCCUCAUAUCUCAGAUUUCCCCCGUCUUCUCAGUUUCUUUAGUUUUUUAACCUAUCAAACAUCCUAGUUAGGCCUAAAGAUCUCAGAUCCUUACAUUUUGUUAAAUGUAUAUCAAAAUCCAUGAAUUGAGCUUACCCAUUAUAUGAACGAAUAAGAAUGACUUAGUCUUUUUUAGGCUGUAUAGAGAAUAAAAGAAUCAGCCAUUUGAUGUGUUGUGUAGUUAGACCCUUGAAAAAAAAAAGCAAUAUUAUAAUGGUUAAUUAAGUGUAUAGGCUCUGCUAGUUUAGUCUUUGGGGUACUGUCUCCAAGUACCCUAAUUGGAUGAUCUGGUUCUUAUCUUGUUUUGGUCUAUGACAGGAUUUGCUUGGACCUGUGCCAUGUAAUUGUAAAUGUUGCAGAACGUAUUAAAAAAUAAACAAAUAAAUCCUAGUGAAUGCAAAGCAAGUAACUAAGUUUUGAUCAUUUGAAGGUUAGCAACUUGCCUAAUGGUGCAAUAUUGGCUGGUGUUGAUGCAUUGCACAACAUGCUGACCAAUGAAGUAAAUAAAUGUGCUAUUACUUACUUUUGUCUUUGAGGGUUUUGGACCUUGCUUUCUUCAUGUUAAUCAUAUAGCAUUUUUUUUUUCUCAAUGUCCUACUUUUCUGGUGUAAGAAAUUUAUAGUCUAUUUCAUGUCGAGACAGGUGCUUGAACAUGAUGAUGCA
rnacentral:misc_RNA from 1 species